AUUGAACGCUGGCGGCAGGCCUAACACAUGCAAGUCGAACGGUAACAGGAAGCAGCUUGCUGCUUCGCUGACGAGUGGCGGACGGGUGAGUAAUGUCUGGGAAACUGCCUGAUGGAGGGGGAUAACUACUGGAAACGGUAGCUAAUACCGCAUAACGUCGCAAGACCAAAGAGGGGGACCUUAGGGCCUCUUGCCAUCGGAUGUGCCCAGAUGGGAUUAGCUAGUAGGUGGGGUAACGGCUCACCUAGGCGGCGAUCCCUAGCUGGUCUGAGAGGAUGACCAGCCACACUGGAACUGAGACACGGUCCAGACUCCUACGGGAGGCAGCAGUGGGGAAUAUUGCACAAUGGGCGCAAGCCUGAUGCAGCCAUGCCGCGUGUAUGAAGAAGGCCUUCGGGUUGUAAAGUACUUUCAGCGGGGAGGAAGGGAGUAAAGUUAAUACCUUUGCUCAUUGACGUUACCCGCAGAAGAAGCACCGGCUAACUCCGUG
rnacentral:rRNA from 1 species